rnacentral:rRNA from 1 species
UACGUAGGUGGCAAGCGUUGUCCGGAUUUAUUGGGUUUAAAGGGUGCGUAGGCGGUCUUAUAAGUCAGUGCUGAAAUAUCCCGGCUUAACCGGGAGGGUAGCAUUGAUACUGUAGGACUUGAGUGAAGUCGAGGUAGGCGGAAUUGACGGUGUAGCGGUGAAAUGCUUAGAUAUCGUCAAGAACACCAAUAGUGAAGACAGUUUACUAGACUUCAACUGACGCUGAGGCACGAAAGUGUGGGGAUCAAACAGG